AGGAUUUCUCUGUGUAGCCCUGGCUGUCCUGGAACUCACUUUGUAAACCAGACUGGCCUCAAACUCAGAAAUCUGCCUGCCUCUGCAUCUCAAGUGCUGGGUUUAAAGGUGCGUGCCACCACUGCUCGGUCUGGUCUUGGCUUUUGCUCUUAGGUUUUUUUUUCCUCCGUGCUGGAGACCCAACCCAUGACCUUGUGCAUGCUAGAUGAGUUCUACCUCCAGCCCUUGCGGCAGCGGGGAGUGGCCCUCAUCAGAAUCCGCACGCAGCCUGCAGUCUCAGCCUCUAAAGCUGUGAUCUGAACAAUUGUAAAGUGAGGUUGUCUGGAGCAUUUCAUAGUCCCAAGGAAAUGGGACCUCCGAGAUGUGUCUUUUGCUUGUUUAUUUAUGUGAAGUGCCCAAUAUAAAAUGUAUUCAGAAGGCAAAUCUGAAUAAUAGUUUAUUCAUUGGUACUAAGGUUCUUUUACCUCUAGCCCUCUGUGAGAUGGAAAUGGGAGAUGGGGUAAGUAUACUUAGAUCAUCAGCUCACAGCAACCCUUCUAGUUCUAACUAAUAUUGCCAGGUUUGCUCCAUCCUUCCACCUCUGCAUUUGUAACUCUCUCUUCCUCAAGUAUAAGAAACCUGGUUUCCAGGCUGGCGAGAUGGCUCAGCGGUUAAGAGCACUGACUGCUCUUCCAUAGGUCCUGAGUUCAAAUCCCAGCAACCACAUGGUGGCUCACAACCACCUGUAAUGAGAUCUGAUGCCCUCUUCUGGUGCAUCUGAAGUCAAAUAUGUAUAAUAAAUAAAUCAAAAAAAAAAAAAAAAAAAAAAGAAAGGAAGAAAGAAAGAAAGAAACCUGGUUUCCAUUUCCCUGAUAUACUUCUACUUUGCUAGAAAUAUAAAAAGUAGCUUCAGGAUUGUACUCUCAUGAAUUAGAGUUCCAUUUAAAAAAAAAAAAAAGUAUGUGAGUACACUGUAGCUGUCUUCAGACACCAGAAGGAUCCCAUUACAGAUGGUUGUGAGCCACCAUGUGGUGGCUGAGAAUUGAACUCAGAACCUCUGUAAAAACAGUCAGUGCUCUUAACCGCUGAGCCAUCUCUCCAGACUCCUAGAGUUCCAUAUUUGCUUUUGUUUUUUCUUUCUUAAGGCUAAAGACAUACACCCAAAAUACCUGCAAACCCACGUCACUCAUUUGCCUCCACAAAUACACA
rnacentral:lncRNA from 1 species